UACAAAAUUUCAUGAGGAGACUUAUUGUGAAGAAUUCUGGAAGGAAUUUUGUUAAGAAGAUAAGUGGCAGUCAACAAACAAUCCCCCCAGAAAGACACAGGUAGGCCAGAUUGAGAAGGCAAGGCUCUACAUGUUUCAAGAAGGGUUCUGUGCUUUCUUUCAACAACACCAUUCUGUUAGGGUGAAUGAGGGCAAUAGGUUUGAUGAAUAAUCCCCUACUAAAGAAAGAUAUGCCCUCAAUGCUGGAACCCAAUUCUAAGGCAUUGUCACUUCUAACAGUUUGAACCACAAUGUUAAACUGAGUUUUAACAAAACAGAUGAAAGACUUAAGCAGGGAAAAGGCAUUGCUUUUAGAUCCCAUUAAGUGUGUCCAAGUUGCCCUAGAAAAAUCAUCAACUAUAGUAAGGAAGUAUCUACAACCAGAAGAAGUAGAAGUGUGGUAAGGCCCCCAAGUAUCCACAUGUAUUAAUUGAAAUGGUCCAGUAAUACUAAUACUGCUGUCAGGAAAAGGGAGUCUAGUUUGUUUGGCCAUAGGACAGACAGAGCAAGGAAAAGGUUGUUUAGAAGCAAGAGGAAAAGACAAACCGUUUGUUUGGCCAUAGGACAGACAGAACAAGGAAAAGGCUGUUUAGAAGCAAGGGGUAAAGGCAAAUCAGAAAUAUGUCUCAUAUUUGCAAAAGAAGUAUGUGCUAGUCUUAAAUGCCAAAUGUAAUUCAN
rnacentral:lncRNA from 1 species